AGCGAACGCUGGCGGCAGGCUUAACACAUGCAAGUCGAGCGGGCGUAGCAAUACGUCAGCGGCAGACGGGUGAGUAACGCGUGGGAACAUACCUUUUGGUUCGGAACAACACAGGGAAACUUGUGCUAAUACCGGAUAAGCCCUUACGGGGAAAGAUUUAUCGCCGAAAGAUUGGCCCGCGUCUGAUUAGCUAGUUGGUGAGGUAACGGCUCACCAAGGCGACGAUCAGUAGCUGGUCUGAGAGGAUGAUCAGCCACAUUGGGACUGAGACACGGCCCAAACUCCUACGGGAGGCAGCAGUGGGGAAUAUUGGACAAUGGGCGCAAGCCUGAUCCAGCCAUGCCGCGUGAGUGAUGAAGGCCCUAGGGUUGUAAAGCUCUUUUGUGCGGGAAGAUAAUGACGGUACCGCAAGAAUAAGCCCCGGCUAACUUCGUGCCAGCAGCCGCGGUAAUACGAAGGGGGCUAGCGUUGCUCGGAAUCACUGGGCGUAAAGGGUGCGUAGGCGGGUUCUUAAGUCAGAGGUGAAAUCCUGGAGCUCAACUCCAGAACUGCCUUUGAUACUGAGA
rnacentral:rRNA from 1 species